rnacentral:tRNA from 1 species
UAAGAAAACAUUUUAAAUGUGUAUAGUUUCGACCUAUAAAAAGAUAAAUAAAUAUUAUCUCUUAU